rnacentral:misc_RNA from 1 species
GCAAUAACUUUUUACUGGGUGUACCGAUUUUAACAAUUUUUAAUUUAAUCGAUAGCUGAUGUUUGUCAUGUGGUCACAUAUAAAUUUUAUCGAGAUCUAAUAACUACCUUUUGAGUCAUCUUUGAUAACGCGUAGUUACUUGACUAUUUUUGCGUCGAUCUACGUUGUAUUACUUGUCGAUAUAAUUGAAGUCGGUUUUUAACCGACUUCCAAAAAAGGAGGAGGUUCUCAAUUCGACUGUAUUUUUUUUUUUUUUUUUUUUUUUUUUUUAUGUAUGUUACAUCAGAACUUUUGACCGGGUAGACCGAUUUCGACAAAUUUUGUUUUAAUCGAAAGGUGGUGUGUGUCAAUUGGUCCCAUUUAAAUUUAUUUGAGAUCUAACAACUACUUUUCGAGCUAUAUCUAAUAAUGCGUUUUUACUUGACGCUUUUUUCGUCGACCUACGUUGUAUUAUACCGCAUAACUUUUUACUGGAUGUACCGAUAUUGAUAAUUCUUUUUUUGUUGGAAAAG